GUGGGGAAUAUUGGACAAUGGGCGAAAGCCUGAUCCAGCAAUGCCGCGUGAGUGAAGAAGGCCUUCGGGUUGUAAAGCUCUUUUACCCGGGAAGAUAAUGACUGUACCGGGAGAAUAAGCCCCGGCUAACUCCGUGCCAGCAGCCGCGGUAAUACGGAGGGGGCUAGCGUUGUUCGGAAUUACUGGGCGUAAAGCGCACGUAGGCGGUCUUUUAAGUCAGAGGUGAAAGCCCGGGGCUCAACUCCGGAAUUGCCUUUGAAACUGGGAGACUUGAACACGGGAGAGGUGAGUGGAAUUCCGAGUGUAGAGGUGAAAUUCGUAGAUAUUCGGAGGAACACCAGUGGCGAAGGCGGCUCACUGGACCGUUGUUGACGCUGAGGUGCGAAAGCGUGGGGAGCAAACAGGAUUAGAAACCCGGGUAGUCC
rnacentral:rRNA from 1 species